GGGUGGCUAGUGGAAGUCCCCUUCCUCCUUCACUGCCCCAUGUGUGUGCAGUGAAGCUCUGUGCUUGGCCAAAAAGUAUGACCUUCCCCAACAGAGGGGGACGGGGCUUUGGUCAAGGGUAUAUGUGCAGCUGCUGGACCUUCCAAACAGAUCUCAAGGAGUUUCCAAAUGCCAGGCAUUGUAGUCCACACCUUUAAUACCGGCACAUGGGAGGCAGGAACAGGCAGAUCUCUGU
rnacentral:sRNA from 1 species